UCGUAACGUACAGAAUCUGGGAGCCUC
rnacentral:sRNA from 1 species